rnacentral:rRNA from 1 species
GUGCACCAGUCGCGAAUAGUCUACAAUGGACGAAAGUCUGAUAGUGCGACGCCGUGUGUGCGAUUAAUUCCUUCGGGAUGUAAAGCACUUUUCUAUGAGAUAAAAGCUCUUUAGGUUAAUAGCUUAUUGAGACGGAUAUUAUUAUAGGAAUAAGCUCCGGCUAACUCCGUGCCAGCAGCCGCGGUAAUACGGAAGGAGCGAGCGUUGUCCGGAUUUACUAGGCGUAAAGGGCUAGUAGGCGACUAAUUAAGUUAUAUGUUAAAUCCCACGGCUCAACUGUGGUCCUGCAUGUAAUACUGGUUAGAUAGAGUACUGUAGAGGAAGGCAGAAUUCCUGGAGUAGCGGUGGAAUGCGCAGAUAUCAGAAGAAUGCCAAAAGCGAAGGCAGCCUUCUGGGGCAGUUACUGACGCUGAAUAGCGAAGGUGUGGGUAGCGAACAGGAUUAGAUACCCCCGUA